rnacentral:lncRNA from 1 species
AGAAGAUCCGAGUGCCAUCACCUCCAUCUUUAUCUCUUUCAUCAGCUCCAUCUUCUUUGUCUCCUUCAUUACCUUCAUCUCCUCCAUCUCCUACAUCUUUAUCUCUUCCAUUACUUCCAUCUUCUUUAUUUCUUUCAUCACCUCCAUAUUCUUUGUCUCCUUCAUUACCUUCAUCUCCUCCAUCUCCUACAUCUUUAUCUCUUUCAUCACUUCCAUCUUCUUUAUCUCUUUCAUCACCUCCAUCUUCUUUGUCUCCUUCAUCACUUCCAUCUUCUUCAUAUCUUUCAUCACCUCCAUCUUCUAUGUCUCCUUUAUUACCUUCAUCUUCUUCAUCUCCUCCAUCUCUUCCAUCUCCUCGUUCAUCUUCCUCGUCUCACAACUGGACACACGACGUUUUUCCGAGCUUCCGUGGGGAAGAUGUCCGCAGAAGCUUUCUCAGUCAUAUUCAAAAGGAGUUUGAAAGAAAGG